AGGGUGUAAACGCUGCAGACUUGGUGUUGGAAGCCCUUUGGGGGCAUUCAGUGCCGGAGAGAAGUUGUUAAGUCUGCUACUUGGGGAGUACGUCCGCAAGGAUGAAACUUAAAGGAAUUGGCGGGGGAGCACCGCAACGGGAGGAGCGUGCGGUUUAAUUGGAUUCAACACCGUAAAACUCACCGGGGAAGACUGUUACAUGAAGGCCGAGAUGAAGACUCUGCUAGAUUUUCAGAGAGGUGGUGCAUGGCGUCAGUGACU
rnacentral:rRNA from 1 species